CGACGCUGAUGCGUUGUUGGGUAGGGGAGCGUUCUGUAAGCCUGUGAAGGUGUGCUGUGAGGCAUGCUGGAGGUAUCAGAAGUGCGAAUGCUGACAUAAGUAACGAUAAAGCGGGUGAAAAGCCCGCUCGCCGGAAGACCAAGGGUUCCUGUCCAACGUUAAUCGGGGCAGGGUGAGUCGACCCCUAAGGCGAGGCCGAAAGGCGUAGUCGAUGGGAAACAGGUUAAUAUUCCUGUACUUGGUGUUACUGCGAAGGGGGGACGGAGAAGGCUAUGUUGGCCGGGCGACGGUUGUCCCGGUUUAAGCGUGUAGGCUGGUUUUCCAGGCAAAUCCGGAAAAUC
rnacentral:rRNA from 1 species